GGGAGGGGCUGGAAGGGAGGGGAGGUGUUUCGCGCUCUGCCCACGCCUCCAGGGUCCCCAAUGGGACUGCUGGGGUGGAGCUCUGAGUUGUCCUGGCAACUGCACAGCCCGGAGCAAGGAACCCUCUGAUGCUCCAGCGACUCCAUGUCACCCUUGUGGUGUUAAAUUAUUGUUUAAGGAGGAUAGAAGGUGAAUUAUGUGAGUAAAUACAGUCUGUUUUCUCUUCAGCCAAAAUGACGACUAUUUUUGUGUAUGACUAAUUUAUUUUUAUUACUGUAAAAAUACAAUAAACUGGUUAAAAGAUCAGCUUUGUUAACCCAUUUGUGCUUUCUCGGGCCUUAUUCCGUUCCUACUCAUGUUGCUUCAGACAGCCCCCUCUGACAAGAAGAAUGGAGCGCUCCCGGGGGCAGUCGGCUCUGGGCUUCUGGGGCGCUGGGCCGCUCAGAACAGGAAGUGCCCUGGACACGGCGGACUUCAACCCGCUGGUUUAGGCUGGUCCUCAGCAUCAGCUGUAUGUGAGAGUCACCUGAGGAGCUUCAGAUAGAAGAUUCAGGAAUGUGCACCGCCCUCGGGAUUGCGCUGGAAAAUAACCAUCUUGGAAAUGUGCCAUAAUUUAUUCAAUUUUGAAAAUACACUCAACUCUUUCCAAUGCAUUGUGACUGAAAACAACAUCUUGGUACAUCAUGGUGUGGCUCGUGUAAGAAAUUCUAUUAAAGAGCGCGUCUUCCAAACCCCUUUGGAGAGAAGAGGGAGCAGGAGCGGCAUGUUGGAAGGCUGCGUUUGGGGAAGGAGCACGCCUUGUUCAGGGUCCAGGAGACGUCUGCGGCCAGAGCAUGGAGCAGGGGCAGGAGUGCGGCCAGUCCACACAGGACCCCCCACCCCCACCCCAGAAACAUCAUGUCUUAGGGAAAAUUGCUUUGAGCAGAUGCGUUUUCUAAAAUGUCAUUCUAAAGGACAUAUCCUUCAUUUCUGUGGAGAAGCACUGGAUAUUCGUUACCUCAAUUUAGGAUUUCAUCAAAUUAAUAAAUGCAGCUAAUAAA
rnacentral:lncRNA from 1 species